AGAAAACUGCCUGAACAAUGUUUGUGAGCUCAGCAGUGUAAAUGGAGAAGUGAAUGCCCACAUGGGACAAUGUGUGAAGAGGAGAGGUAGUCACAUGACCACAGCAGGCUGGGAGGUAUUCUCCAAAGACUCGGUGCUGGACCAAACCAGCAUUUUUGUUCUGGUUGAAGCCUUCAUUCAAAGGUUCAGAGACCUGCUUGAGCUUUGCCAUGUGGGAUAUCAUUUUCUCUUGACCAUGUGACUGCCACUAGCAGCUUGGCCGUUGGGAGGAGGGUCAGCAGAGGGCCUUGCUGCACUUCGGCGCGCGCCAGGGGCCAGAGGUCGUCCACUGCCUGCUGGAGAUACAGAGCAUCCUCCACCACUGCCUACAGAUUCUGCACUUUGUUGGCACAGGCAUCCUGGACGUCAAAACACCA